rnacentral:rRNA from 1 species
AACGUACGCUGGCGGCAUGCCUAACACAUGCAAGUCGAACGAGACCUUCGGGUCUAGUGGCGCACGGGUGCGUAACGCGUGGGAAUCUGCCCUUGGGUUCGGAAUAACAGUGAGAAAUUACUGCUAAUACCGGAUGAUGACUUCGGUCCAAAGAUUUAUCGCCCAAGGAUGAGCCCGCGUAGGAUUAGGUAGGUGGUGGGGUAAUGGCCUACCAAGCCGACGAUCCUUAGCUGGUCUGAGAGGAUGAUCAGCCACACUGGGACUAAGACACGGCCCAGACUCCUACGGGAGGCAGCAGUGGGGAAUAUUGGACAAUGGGCGAAAGCCUGAUCCAGCAAUGCCGCGUGAGUGAUGAAGGCCUUAGGGUUGUAAAGCUCUUUUACCAGGGAUGAUAAUGACAGUACCUGGAGAAUAAGCUCCGGCUAACUCCGUGCCAGCCGCCGCCGUAAUAC